rnacentral:lncRNA from 1 species
GUCCCUGCAACACAAAGUUCUUUUGAUACCUUUAGGACAGUAAUAGCAGAUUUGUUGCUUGAAGAUAGAAAGGUUUUAGCCACCUGAUUCCUGUUGAUGUUUGAGCUACCUCAUUGUUUAUGUUGAUGCAUUGUCCUUGUUGUGACAGCAUUGCUAACUAAAUGCUCAUAUUUUCUUCGGUUUAAUGAUGUGAAGGCACAUGUGGAGUUGUACUACAAGAGCAAGUGGCUGUUAGAUUGAGAAACUUGAGGCUACCUUUCAGACCUCCCAUGGUGCUCUAUCAAUUUGUUCUUUUCUCCAUUCUCUAAAAACUUAAUAAUUGGUCACUUACGCGUAAAAUGAUGCAAUUCCGAGUACUCUGAUGAGACGUGGAUGCUAGAUUGUUAUUUCUGGUUCUUUGUGGCAUUCCAUUACUUGCUUGACGGCAGAUAAUUUUUGCCAGCUGAUUUGACUCUAGAAUUGAGCUAGUUUUUUUUUUUUUUUUUUUUUUGCUAAAUAGAAUUGAGCUAGCUUUGUGGUUUACACAUUUACACAAAUAAUUUGAUUGUUCUGGUUGUGGUGGACAUGAAGAUUCGUAGGCAAAAGCGUACUAGUGUUGGUGGGUUGGUUAUAACUGCUGUCGCUUUCUUUGUAUAUAGCGCACAUUCCACUAAUGCAUUAUUUCCCCCAGAACA